ensembl:rRNA 5S_rRNA 5S ribosomal RNA
GCUUACGGCCACACAGCCUGGUUCACUCCUGAUCUCGUUUGAUCUCGGAAGCUAAGAUAGGUUGGGCCUGGUUAGUACUUGGAUGGGAGACCGUCUGGGAAUACCAGGUGCUGUAUGCU